UGCCUACGGGGGGCAGCAGUGAGGAAUAUUGGUCAAUGGGAGAGAUCCUGAACCAGCCAAGCCGCGUGAGGGAAGACGGCCCUAUGGGUUGUAAACCUCUUUUGUCGGAGAACAAAACCCGGGACGUGUCCCGGACUGCGUGUAUCCGAAGAAAAAGCAUCGGCUAACUCCGUGCCAGCAGCCGCGGUAAUACGGAGGAUGCGAGCGUUAUCCGGAUUUAUUGGGUUUAAAGGGUGCGUAGGCGGUUUUUUAAGUUAGUGGUUAAACGUCGGGGCUUCACCUUGAUUUGCCAUUAAUACUGUAAG
rnacentral:rRNA from 1 species